rnacentral:rRNA from 1 species
GCCUUGGAGUGGGGGGAUAACCUGGGGAAACUCGGGCUAAUACCGCAUACGCCCUAAGGGGGAAAGCGGGGGAUCUUCGGACCUCGCGCUAUUGGAUGAGCCUAAGUCGGAUUAGCUUGUAGGUAGGGUAACGGCCUACCUAGGCGACGAUCCGUAGCUGGUCUGAGAGGACGAUCAGCCACACUGGGACUGAGACACGGCCCAG